rnacentral:misc_RNA from 1 species
GAAAUGCGAUACAUAAUGUAAAUUGCAGAAAUCAGUGAAUCAUCAAAUCUUUGAACGCACAUUGCACCUGAAGUAUUCCUUCUGGUACAUUUGUCUGAGUGUCCUUCUUUAUUAUUCUAUCUUAUGAUUCUAUAUUAAUCAUUCGAUGUUGAUAUGCAUUUGUAAUGUAUAUUUAAAGUUAUAUAUGAUAAUAUCGUUUUGUUUUGUUGGUAAAUUAUUAUCUCUUUUUUUCAUAUCAGUAUAUUAUCAAUUAAGGAUUUUCAAUUAUUUCAAUAAAGACCUCAGAUCAAAUGGCAUUACCCGCUGAAUUUAA